GGUUAAGCGACUAAGCGUACACGGUGGAUGCCCUGGCAGUCAGAGGCGAUGAAGGACGUGCUAAUCUGCGAUAAGCGUCGGUAAGGUGAUAUGAACCGUUAUAACCGGCGAUUUCCGAAUGGGGAAACCCAGUGUGUUUCGACACACUAUCAUUAACUGAAUCCAUAGGUUAAUGAGGCGAACCGGGGAACUGAAACAUCUAAGUACCCCGAGGAAAAGAAAUCAACCGAGAUUCCCCCAGUAGCGGCGAGCGAACGGGGAGCAGCCCAGAGCCUGAAUCAGUGUGUGUGUUAGUGGAAGCGUCUGGAAAGGCGCGCGAUACAGGGUGACAGCCCCGUACACAAAAAUGCACAUGCUGUGAGCUCGAUGAGUAGGGCGGGACACGUGGUAUCCUGUCUGAAUAUGGGGGACCAUCCUCCAAGGCUAAAUACUCCUGACUGACCGAUAGUGAACCAGUACCGUGAGGGAAAGGCGAAAAGAACCCCGGCGAGGGGAGUGAAAAAGAACCUGAAACCGUGUACGUACAAGCAGUGGGAGCACGCUUAGGCGUGUGACUGCGUACCUUUUGUAUAAUGGGUCAGCGACUUAUAUUCUGUAGCAAGGUUAACCGAAUAGGGGAGCCGAAGGGAAACCGAGUCUUAACUGGGCGUUAAGUUGCAGGGUAUAGACCCGAAACCCGGUGAUCUAGCCAUGGGCAGGUUGAAGGUUGGGUAACACUAACUGGAGGACCGAACCGACUAAUGUUGAAAAAUUAGCGGAUGACUUGUGGCUGGGGGUGAAAGGCCAAUCAAACCGGGAGAUAGCUGGUUCUCCCCGAAAGCUAUUUAGGUAGCGCCUCGUGAAUUCAUCUCCGGGGUAGAGCACUGUUUCGGCAAGGGGUCAUCCCGACUUACCAACCCGAUGCAAACUGCGAAUACCGGAGAAUGUUAUCACGGGAGACACACGGCGGGUGCUAACGUCCGUCGUGAAGAGGGAAACAACCCAGACCGCCAGCUAAGGUCCCAAAGUCAUGGUUAAGUGGGAAACGAUGUGGGAAGGCCCAGACAGCCAGGAUGUUGGCUUAGAAGCAGCCAUCAUUUAAAGAAAGCGUAAUAGCUCACUGGUCGAGUCGGCCUGCGCGGAAGAUGUAACGGGGCUAAACCAUGCACCGAAGCUGCGGCAGCGACACUAUGUGUUGUUGGGUAGGGGAGCGUUCUGUAAGCCUGUGAAGGUGUGCUGUGAGGCAUGCUGGAGGUAUCAGAAGUGCGAAUGCUGACAUAAGUAACGAUAAAGCGGGUGAAAAGCCCGCUCGCCGGAAGACCAAGGGUUCCUGUCCAACGUUAAUCGGGGCAGGGUGAGUCGACCCCUAAGGCGAGGCCGAAAGGCGUAGUCGAUGGGAAACAGGUUAAUAUUCCUGUACUUGGUGUUACUGCGAAGGGGGACGGAGAAGGCUAUGUUGGUACGGGCGACGGUUGUCCCGGUUUAAGCGUGUAGGCUGGUUUUCCAGGCAAAUCCGGAAAAUCAAGGCUGAGGCGUGAUGACGAGGCACUACGGUGCUGAAGCAACAAAUGCCCUGCUUCCAGGAAAAGCCUCUAAGCAUCAGGUAACAUCAAAUCGUACCCCAAACCGACACAGGUGGUCAGGUAGAGAAUACCAAGGCGCUUGAGAGAACUCGGGUGAAGGAACUAGGCAAAAUGGUGCCGUAACUUCGGGAGAAGGCACGCUGAUAUGUAGGUGAGGUCCCUCGCGGAUGGAGCUGAAAUCAGUCGAAGAUACCAGCUGGCUGCAACUGUUUAUUAAAAACACAGCACUGUGCAAACACGAAAGUGGACGUAUACGGUGUGACGCCUGCCCGGUGCCGGAAGGUUAAUUGAUGGGGUUAGCGCAAGCGAAGCUCUUGAUCGAAGCCCCGGUAAACGGCGUACGUAACUAUAACGGUCCUAAGGUAGCGAAAUUCCUUGUCGGGUAAGUUCCGACCUGCACGAAUGGCGUAAUGAUGGCUGAGGCUGUCUCCACCCGAGACUCAGUGAAAUUGAACUCGCUGUGAAGAUGCAGUGUACCCGCGGCAAGACGGAAAGACCCCGUGAACCUUUACUAUAGCUUGACACUGAACAUUGAGCCUUGAUGUGUAGGAUAGGUGGGAGGCUUAGAAGUGUGGACGCCAGUCUGCAUGGAGCCGACCUUGAAAUACCACCCUUUAAUGUUUGAUGUUCUAACGUUGACCCGUAAUCCGGGUUGCGGACAGUGUCUGGUGGGUAGUUUGACUGGGGCGGUCUCCUCCUAAAGAGUAACGGAGGAGCACGAAGGUUGGCUAAUCCUGGUCGGACAUCAGGAGGUUAGUGCAAUGGCAUAAGCCAGCUUGACUGCGAGCGUGACGGCGCGAGCAGGUGCGAAAGCAGGUCAUAGUGAUCCGGUGGUUCUGAAUGGAAGGGCCAUCGCUCAACGGAUAAAAGGUACUCCGGGGAUAACAGGCUGAUACCGCCCAAGAGUUCAUAUCGACGGCGGUGUUUGGCACCUCGAUGUCGGCUCAUCACAUCCUGGGGCUGAAGUAGGUCCCAAGGGUAUGGCUGUUCGCCAUUUAAAGUGGUACGCGAGCUGGGUUUAGAACGUCGUGAGACAGUUCGGUCCCUAUCUGCCGUGGGCGCUGGAGAACUGAGGGGGCUGCUCCUAGUACGAGAGGACCGGAGUGGACGCAUCACUGGUGUUCGGGUUGUCAUGCCAAUGGCACUGCCCGGUAGCUAAAUGCGGAAGAGAUAAGUGCUGAAAGCAUCUAAGCACGAAACUUGCCCCGAGAUGAGUUCUCCCUGACCCUUUAAGGGUCCUGAAGGAACGUUGAAGACGACGACGUUGAUAGGCCGGGUGUGUAAGCGCAGCGAUGCGUUGAGCUAACCGGUACUAAUGAACCGUGAGGCUUAACCUU
rnacentral:rRNA from 1 species